rnacentral:rRNA from 1 species
UACGUAGGGGGCAAGCGUUGUCCGGAAUCAUUGGGCGUAAAGAGCGCGUAGGCGGCCCAGUAAGUCCGCUCUGAAAGUCAGGGGCUCAACCCCUGGAUGCGGGUGGAUACUGCUGGGCUAGAGUCCGGAAGAGGAGAGCGGAAUUCCUGGUGUAGCGGUGGAAUGCGCAGAUAUCAGGAAGAACACCCGUGGCGAAGGCGGCUCUCUGGGACGGUACUGACGCUGAGACGCGAAAGCGUGGGGAGCGAACAGG